rnacentral:rRNA from 1 species
CAGCACCUCAAGUGGUCAGGAUGAUUAUUGGGCCUAAAGCAUCCGUAGCCGGCGCUGUAAGUUUUCGGUUAAAUCUGUACGCUCAACGUACAGGCUGCCGGGAAUACUGCAGCGCUAGGGAGUGGGAGUGGUAGACGGUACUCGGUAGGAAGGGGUAAAAUCCUUUGAUCUAUUGAUGACCACCUGUGGCGAAGGCGGUCUACCAGAACACGUCCGACGGUGAGGGAUGAAAGCUGCGGGAGCAAACCGGAUUAGAGACCCGAGUAGUCC